rnacentral:rRNA from 1 species
CCCCUGCUCAAUGGUUAACUAAAUAGCCGCAGUACUCUGACUGUGCAAAGGUAGCAUAAUCAAUUGGCCUAUAAUUGAGGUCUGGCAUGAAUGGGCGUAUGGGUAUUAACUGUCUUUAUAAAAUAAAUAUAAUUUACUUAAUAAGUGCAAAUGCUUAUCUUAAAAUAAAAGACGAGAAGACCCUAGAAAUUUUUUAUCAAAUAACUUAAUUAUUAUUGCUAUUUUGCUGGGGCGGCAGGGUGACAUAUAACUCACCUAUAUUUAUAAGAAGUAUACAGAAUACACACAAUUACUCUAGGGAUAACAGCAUAAUUAAUUAUUAGAUUGUGACCUCGAUGUUGGAUUAAGAAAUGAAUUAUUUAGAAGAUAGUUCAAUAUGCUCUGUUCGAGCAGUAUCUCUU